GACGAACCGUCCAAACGUUAUUCGGAAUUAUUGGGCUUAAAGGGUGCGUAGGCUGUGCAGUAAGUUGGGUGUGAAAUCCCUCGGCUCAACCGAGGAACUGCGCCGAAUACUGCUGUGCUAGAGGGAGAUAGGGGUAAGCGGAACUGAUGGUGGAGCGGUGAAAUGCGUUGAUAUCAUCAGGAACACCGGUGGCGAAGGCGGCUUACUGGAUCUCUUCUGACGCUGAUGCACGAAAGCUAGGGGAGCGAGCGGG
rnacentral:rRNA from 1 species